rnacentral:rRNA from 1 species
GAAAUUUCAUUCGCACUAACGAUAGCUAGUUUUUCUAGAAAGAUAUAAAAGUGUCGAGGAAAAAAAUGUAAUUUAUGACAUUAGAUGUUAUAUAAUGUUAUUUUUUUACUAAUUUUUCUGAGGAUAAGCUCAGAAAGGGGUUAAGACGAAUUUUUGAUUAAAUUUGCUGUGUGGGUUUAAAAUUGAUCACCCCAAGAGUUUUUUAUAAAAUAGUAAUUUUAAUUCUGUAAAUAAAUAUAAUUUAAAUCUAACUUCUUAUGGAGAUAAAAACUUCAGCUAAAGCAAGUUUUAUACCUAUGCUAGAAUGAGUAUUAAAACUUAAUUAUAAGUGAUUUAUUUUUAUCUCCUAAAAAAUUUUUUAAAAAAAUUAAUUAAUUAGAAGGAACUCGGCAAAUUUAGUUGUUCCGCCUGUUUAUCAAAAACAUGGCUCUUUGAUUAUAUACGUAUAAAGAGUCCAACCUACCC